rnacentral:rRNA from 1 species
GACGUAGGGCGCGAGCGUUGUCCGGAAUUACUGGGCGUAAAGAGCUCGUAGGUGGUUUGUCGCGUUGUUCGUGAAAACUCACAGCUCAACUGUGGGCGUGCGGGCGAUACGGGCAGACUGGAGUACUGCAGGGGAGACUGGAAUUCCUGGUGUAGCGGUGGAAUGCGCAGAUAUCAGGAGGAACCCCGGUGGCGAAGUCGGUUCUCUGGGCCGCUGCUGACGCUGAGGAGCGACAGCGUGGGGAGCGAACAGG